GACGAACGCUGGCGGCGUGCUUAACACAUGCAAGUCGAACGGAAAGGCCCUGCUUUUGUGGGGUGCUCGAGUGGCGAACGGGUGAGUAACACGUGAGUAACCUGCCCUUGACUUUGGGAUAACUUCAGGAAACUGGGGCUAAUACCGGAUAGGAGCUCCUGCUGCAUGGUGGGGGUUGGAAAGUUUCGGCGGUUGGGGAUGGACUCGCGGCUUAUCAGCUUGUUGGUGGGGUAGUGGCUUACCAAGGCUUUGACGGGUAGCCGGCCUGAGAGGGUGACCGGCCACAUGGGGACUGAGAUACGGCCCAGACUCCUACGGGAGGCAGCAGGGGGGAAUAUUGCACAAUGGGCGGAAGCCUGAUGCAGCAACGCCGCGUGCGGGAUGACGGCCUUCGGGUUGUAAACCGCUUUCGCCUGUGACGAAGCGUGAGUGACGGUAAUGGGUAAAGAAGCACCGGCUAACUACGUG
rnacentral:rRNA from 1 species